rnacentral:rRNA from 1 species
GGCCCCCGGGCCUUUUUUAAGUUUUAAAACCUGCUCAGGACGAACGCUGGCGGCGUGCCUAAUACAUGCAAGUCGAGCGGACAGAUGGGAGCUUGCUCCCUGAUGUUAGCGGCGGACGGGUGAGUAACACGUGGGUAACCUGCCUGUAAGACUGGGAUAACUCCGGGAAACCGGGGCUAAUACCGGAUGCUUGUUUGAACCGCAUGGUUCAAACAUAAAAGGUGGCUUCGGCUACCACUUACAGAUGGACCCGCGGCGCAUUAGCUAGUUGGUGAGGUAAUGGCUCACCAAGGCAACGAUGCGUAGCCGACCUGAGAGGGUGAUCGGCCACACUGGGACUGAGACACGGCCCAGACUCCUACGGGAGGCAGCAGUAGGGAAUCUUCCGCAAUGGACGAAAGUCUGACGGAGCAACGCCGCGUGAGUGAUGAAGGUUUUCGGAUCGUAAAGCUCUGUUGUUAGGGAAGAACAAGUACCGUUCGAAUAGGGCGGUACCUUGACGGUACCUAACCAGAAAGCCACGGCUAACUACGUGCCAGCAGCCGCGGUAAUACGUAGGUGGCAAGCGUUGUCCGGAAUUAUUGGGCGUAAAGGGCUCGCAGGCGGUUUCUUAAGUCUGAUGUGAAAGCCCCCGGCUCAACCGGGGAGGGUCAUUGGAAACUGGGGAACUUGAGUGCAGAAGAGGAGAGUGGAAUUCCACGUGUAGCGGUGAAAUGCGUAGAGAUGUGGAGGAACACCAGUGGCGAAGGCGACUCUCUGGUCUGUAACUGACGCUGAGGAGCGAAAGCGUGGGGAGCGAACAGGAUUAGAUACCCUGGUAGUCCACGCCGUAAACGAUGAGUGCUAAGUGUUAGGGGGUUUCCGCCCCUUAGUGCUGCAGCUAACGCAUAAGCACUCCGCUGGAGAUCGCCACGGUU